UACAGAGGUCUCAAGCGUUGUUCGGAAUUACUGGGCGUAAAGGGUGCGCAGGCGGCGUGGGGAGUCAAAUGUGUAAUUCAGGGGCUCAACCCCUGCACUGCGCUUGAUACGUCCGCGCUCGAGCUUUGGAGAGGAGUCUGGAAUUCUCGGUGUAGCAGUGAAAUGCGUGGAUAUCGAGAAGAACACUUAGGGCGUAGGCAAGACUCUGGACAAAUGCUGACGCUCAUGCACGAAGGCUAGGGUAGCGAACGGG
rnacentral:rRNA from 1 species